AGCUAAACGGGAUGGCAGCGAUAUCCUUUUUCAGCUACUUCGUUCGCUAAAGCAGCACAAGUCCGAAAAAGAUUUAGCGAACAGCCCGACGAAAC
rnacentral:sRNA from 1 species